AUUGAACGCUGGCGGCAUGCCUAACACAUGCAAGUCGAACGGCAGCGGGGGAGAAGCUUGCUUUUCCUGCCGGCGAGUGGCGAACGGGUGAGUAAUACAUCGGAACGUGCCCUGUAGUGGGGGAUAACUAGUCGAAAGAUUAGCUAAUACCGCAUACGACCUGAGGGUGAAAAUGGGGGACCGCAAGGCCUCAUGCUAUAGGAGCGGCCGAUGUCUGAUUAGCUAGUUGGUGGGGUAAAGGCCUACCAAGGCGACGAUCAGUAGCUGGUCUGAGAGGACGAUCAGCCACACUGGGACUGAGACACGGCCCAGACUCCUACGGGAGGCAGCAGUGGGGAAUUUUGGACAAUGGGCGAAAGCCUGAUCCAGCAAUGCCGCGUGUGUGAAGAAGGCCUUCGGGUUGUAAAGCACUUUUGUCCGGAAAGAAAUGGCUCUGGUUAAUACCUGGGGUCGAUGACGGUACCGGAAGAAUAAGGACCGGCUAACUACGUGCCAGCCGCCGCGGUAA
rnacentral:rRNA from 1 species